AGGCCUGUAGCUCAACGGUUAGAGCCAUCCGCUCAUAACGGAUUGGUUACAGGUUCAAAUCCUGUCAGGCCUACCA
rnacentral:tRNA from 1 species